AGCAGCCGCGGUAAUUCCAGCUCCAAUAGCGUAUAUUAAAGUUGUUGCAGUUAAAAAGCUCGUAGUUGAAUUUCGGGAUCAAUUUAUUGGUCGUGCUAUUGUACGUACUGGUAUAAUCGGUUUCUCCUUUCUGACGAACUAUAAUGCCAUUAAUUUGGUGUUUUAGGGAAUCAGGACUGUUACUUUGAAAAAAUUAGAGUGUUUAAAGCAGGCUCACGCUUGAAUACAUUAGCAUGGAAUAACGGAAUAGGACGUUUGAUUCUAUUUUGUUGGUUUCUAGGAUCGACGUAAUGAUUAAUAGGGAUAGUUGGGGGCAUUGGUAUUCAAUUGUCAGAGGUGAAAUUCUUGGAUUUAUUGAAGACUAACUACUGCGAAAGCAUUUGCCAAGGAUGUUUUCAUUAAUCAAGAACGAAAGUUAGGGGAUCGAAGACGAUCAGAUACCGUCGUAGUCUUAACCAUAAACUAUGCCGACUAGGGAUCGGAUGAUGUUAAUUUUUAAUGACUCAUUCGGCGCCUUACG
rnacentral:rRNA from 1 species